UCUGAGAGCUUGACUGGGGCUAGAGGUCAACUUCCAAAAUGAUUCACCCGCCUGGCUAUUGGCAGGAGGCCCCACUUUCUUGCCUCAUGGGCCUCUCCAUAUGCUACCGGAUGGAGUGUCCUCUUGACAUGGCAACUGGAUUUCCCCGGAGCAGGUCACCAGAAAACUCCAUUUCUUCUGUGAGGGGUUUCAAAGAGAAUAACGACCUACUCAGAGAUUCAAAUGUGAUGCUUUCGGUGGAGCAUCAGCCAUCUGGAGGAUGUGAGAUACCAGCCAACAGAUUGAGGAUGAUGGAGGAAAGAGCCUGCAUGCAAGAAAGCAGUGAGGGAGGGCAAACAGAACAGUGGCAGCAACCACCUACCCCUGCACUCCUUGUUCCAGGAGAAGCAGCAGCUUCUGUGUGCAUAAGGCAGACAAGUUGGGUUUGCUGUUACCUGCAGCUGUAGGCAUUCCUGACUGAUAAAAGGGGCUCUGUGAAUGUGAAGAAUGUGUGAAGCACCAAAUAAGGGACCUCCAGAGAAAUGCUUACUUCAGUAGAAACUCUUUUCUCCUCUAGAGAAGUCCCAUGUUCUCCAAUGCAGGGCUUGGCAAGCUGGGCAAAUAGAAAUAGGUCGGCCCUCUGCCCUUUUUUGUAAAUAAAGUU
rnacentral:lncRNA from 1 species